rnacentral:rRNA from 1 species
UUAAAAAUGAGUUUGAUCCUGGCUCAGGGUGAACGCUAAUAAUAUGCUUUACACAUGCGAGUUGUGCGAUAAAAUGUUGAAAUACCGCAGCGAACGGGUGAGGAAUACGCAAAUAUUUUUUGUCUACCUUUUAACUUAAGAUAAACUAUACCUAUUAAAAAUUUUGAUUUUUUUUAGGAUAAAACUAUUUUUCAGUUUGUAGUAAUAUUAGAUACUUUUUUAGUGUGUUAAGCUCAAAAAAGCAAAAAUUAUAAAAGAAAUAAUUGUUAAAAGAUGAGUUUGUGGAAGAUUAGGUUGUUGGUAGAAAUAAAAGUUUACCAAGCCUUUGAUCUUUAGUUGGUCUUAGAGGACGUACAACCACACUGGAACUGAGACAAGGUCCAGGCUAAUUUUUUGGCCAGCAGUGAGGAAUAUUGGACAAUGAACGAAAGUUUGAUCCAGCAAUAUUAUGUGAAUGAUUGACGACCAACUUUUGGUUGUAAAAUUCUUUCGUUAAAAAUGAUAAUGACGUUAUUUAAAGAAGUUUUAGUCCCGGCUAAUCUCGUGCCAGCAGCCGCGGUAAUACGGGAGGGGCAAGCGUUAUCCGAAAUUACUGGGCGUAAAGAGUCCGUAGAUUGUAAUAUAAGUUAUAUGUUAAAAUUUAAAGCUUAACUUUAAAAAAAUAUACAAUACUGUUUUACUUGAGUUUUAUAUGGAAGAGUAGAAUUUCAUGUUAAGGAGUAAAUUCCAAGAAUACAUGAAGGAAUAUCAUUAGCGAAGGCGACUCUUUAGUACAAACUGACAUUGAGGGACGAAAGUGUAGGGAGCAAACAGGAUUAGAUACCCUGGUAGUCUACACUGUAAAUUCUGAGUGCUGUAAUUUAGAAAACAAAUUUUGGAUUUUUUAAGCUAACGCCAUAAGCACUCCGCCUGAGGAGUACGAUUGCAAAAUUGGAACUCAAAGGAAUUGACGGGAGCCUACAACGAGUGGUGGAGCAUGUGGUUUAAUGCGAUAAUCCGCGCAAAACCUUACCAACCCUUGACAUAUUGAAAAAUAAUUUAAAUUAAUAAAUUUUUUUUAUUAUUAAUGUUAAUUAAAAAAUUAAUAAUUUUUCAUUACAGGUGUUGCACGACUGUCGUCAGUUCGUGUCGUGAGAUGUUUGGUUCAUUCCUUUAAACGAGCGUAACUCUUGUUUUUAAAAAUUUACUUCUAAUUUUCGAUUUAGAUUGAAAAUUUUGUUUUAAAAAGACUGUUUGUUAAUUAAGGUUAAAGCUUUAAAGGAAGGUGAGAAUUAAGUCAAGUCACUGUGGCCCUUAUGGGUUGGGCUACACACGUGCUACAAUGAAAAUGACAAAAAGUAACAAAAAAUUUUAGUUAAUCUUUAAAAAUUUUCUUAGUUCGAAUUGUAAACUGCAACUCGUUUACAUGAAGAUGGAAUCACAAGUAAUCGCAAAUCAGAACGUUGCGGUGAAUACGUACCUUGGCUUUGUACACACCGCCCGUCACAUGCAGAAAGUUAGUUUUACUUGAAAAUUUAAUUUUUUUUGCUUUUUUCAAAAAGUGAAAAAAGUUAAUUCAUUGAAAAAUUAGCAAUUUGGAUGAAGUCGUAACAAGGUAGCUGUACGGGAACGUGUAGCUGGAACAAAUGAAAU